rnacentral:rRNA from 1 species
AGAUUGAACGCUGGCGGCAGGCCUAACACAUGCAAGUCGAGCGGUAGAGAGGUGCUUGCACCUCUUGAGAGCGGCGGACGGGUGAGUAAUGCCUAGGAAUCUGCCUAGUGGUGGGGGAUAACGUUCGGAAACGGACGCUAAUACCGCAUACGUCCUACGGGAGAAAGCGGGGGACCUUCGGGCCUCGCGCCAUUAGAUGAGCCUAGGUCGGAUUAGCUAGUUGGUGAGGUAAUGGCUCACCAAGGCGACGAUCCGUAACUGGUCUGAGAGGAUGAUCAGUCACACUGGAACUGAGACACGGUCCAGACUCCUACGGGAGGCAGCAAGUGGGGAAUAUUGGACAAGUGGGACGAAAGCCCUG